rnacentral:sRNA from 1 species
GAGGAUGAGAACCUCCGGGGGCAGGAGGUUCGACUCGAGCGAAGCGAGAGAACGUUGCGUCAGCAACGGCCCGUAGGGCGAGCCACGAAGUGGUGAGUCAUCCUC